CAGAAGAAGCACCGGCUAACUCCGUGCCAGCAGCCGCGGUAAUACGGAGGGUGCGAGCGUUAAUCGGAAUUACUGGGCGUAAAGCGCAUGCAGGUGGUUUGUUAAGUCAGAUGUGAAAGCCCGGGGCUCAACCUCGGAAUUGCAUUUGAAACUGGCAGACUAGAGUACUGUAGAGGGGGGUAGAAUUUCAGGUGUAGCGGUGAAAUGCGUAGAGAUCUGAAGGAAUACCGGUGGCGAAGGCGGCCCCCUGGACAGAUACUGACACUCAGAUGCGAAAGCGUGGGGAGCAAACAGGAUUAGAUACCCUGGUAGUCCACGCCGUAAACGAUGUCUACUUGGAGGUUGUGGCCUUGAGCC
rnacentral:rRNA from 1 species